GGACGCUAGCGGCGGAUGGGUGAGUAACACGUGGGCAAUCUGCCCUAAAGACUGGGAUACCACUUGGAAACAGGUGCUAAUACCGGAUAACAACAUGAAUCGCAUGAUUCAAGUUUGAAAGGCGGCGCAAGCUGUCACUUUAGGAUGAGCCCGCGGCGCAUUAGCUAGUUGGUGGGGUAAAGGCCUACCAAGGCAAUGAUGCGUAGCCGAGUUGAGAGACUGAUCGGCCACAUUGGGACUGAGACACGGCCCAAACUCCUACGGGAGGCAGCAGUAGGGAAUCUUCCACAAUGGACGCAAGUCUGAUGGAGCAACGCCGCGUGAGUGAAGAAGGUUUUCGGAUCGUAAAGCUCUGUUGUUGGUGAAGAAGGAUAGAGGCAGUAACUGGUCUUUAUUUGACGGUAAUCAACCAGAAAGUCACGGCUAACUACGUGCCAGCAGCCGCGGUAAUACGUAGGUGGCAAGCGUUGUCCGGAUUUAUUGGGCGUAAAGCGAGCGCAGGCGGAAUGAUAAGUCUGAUGUGAAAGCCCACGGCUCAACCGUGGAACUGCAUCGGAAACUGUCAUUCUUGAGUGCAGAAGAGGAGAGUGGAACUCCAUGUGUAGCGGUGGAAUGCGUAGAUAUAUGGAAGAACACCAGUGGCGAAGGCGGCUCUCUGGUCUGCAACUGACGCUGAGGCUCGAAAGCAUGGGUAGCGAACAGGAUUAGAUACCCUGGUAGUCCAUGCCGUAAACGAUGAGCGCUAGGUGUUGGGGACUUUCCGGUCCUCAGUGCCGCAGCAAACGCAUUAAGCGCUCCGCCUGGGGAGUACGACCGCAAGGUUGAAACUCAAAGGAAUUGACGGGGGCCCGCACAAGCGGUGGAGCAUGUGGUUUAAUUCAAAGCAACGCGAAGAACCUUACCAGGUCUUGACAUCCUGCGAUACACCUAGAGAUAGGUGGUUCCCUUCGGGGACGCAGAGACAGGUGGUGCAUGGCUGUCGUCAGCUCGUGUCGUGAGAUGUUGGGUUAAGUCCCGCAACGAGCGCAACCCUUGUCUUUAGUUGCCAUCAUUAAGUUGGGCACUCUAAAGAGACUGCCGGUGACAAACCGGAGGAAGGUGGGGAUGACGUCAAGUCAUCAUGCCCCUUAUGACCUGGGCUACACACGUGCUACAAUGGGCAGUACAACGAGAAGCGAACCCGCGAGGGUAAGCGGAUCUC
rnacentral:rRNA from 1 species